rnacentral:rRNA from 1 species
GACGAUCAGUAGCCGACCUGAGAGGGUGAUCGGCCACAUUGGAACUGAGACACGGUCCAAACUCCUACGGGAGGCAGCAGUGGGGAAUAUUGCACAAUGGGCGCAAGCCUGAUGCAGCAACGCAAACUCUGUCCUCAAAGAGGGUAAGGACGGGUCUGGAGGAGGAAGGCCCGGCUAACUACGUGCCAGCAGGCGCGGUAA